rnacentral:rRNA from 1 species
AAAUUGAAGAGUUUGAUCAUGGCUCAGAUUGAACGCUGGCGGCAGGCCUAACACAUGCAAGUCGAACGGUAACAGGAAACAGCUUGCUGUUUCGCUGACGAGUGGCGGACGGGUGAGUAAUGUCUGGGAAACUGCCCGAUGGAGGGGGAUAACUACUGGAAACGGUAGCUAAUACCGCAUAACGUCGCAAGACCAAAGAGGGGGACCUUCGGGCCUCUUGCUAUCGGAUGUGCCCAGAUGGGAUUAGCUAGUAGGUGGGGUAACGGCUCACCUAGGCGACGAUCCCUAGCUGGU